ensembl:lncRNA
UGACUUCCUGUUUGGAUUCGAAUUUCGUACCAAGAGACUUUUUUGUAGGUAUUGGUGUGUUACAUGUGUGUACCGAUUUUUGUACAUGUACGUGAAACGUAGCUCGAGGCGCACUCCAUUGAAAAUGUAUAGGUGGCGCUAUCGAGGCAUUUUGCCACACCCGAUGGAAUAUUGGCCUUCAGAUUUGUUCAGGCCAGGACUCUUAUCGAACAUGUGAAGUUUGGGCAAGAUCGGACAUUUUAUGCCUGAGUUACAAUAACUUUUAUUCCCAUGGCGAGACAUCGAACUUUGUGACGGCGCCAUGGACACGCCCUUUAACGAAAACUCAAGAUCUUCACAAUUU